CCUACGGGUGGCAGCAGUGGGGGAUAUUGCACAAUGGGGGAAACCCUGAUGCAGCGACGCCGCGUGGGUGAAGAAGCGCCUCGGCGCGUAAAGCCCUGUCAGCAGGGAAGAAAAUGACGGUACCUGAAGAAGAAGCCCCGGCUAACUACGUGCCAGCAGCCGCGGUAAUACGUAGGGGGCAAGCGUUAUCCGCAUUUACGGGGUGUAAAGGGGGCGCAGUCGGCGAUGCAAGCCAGGAGUGAAAGCCCGGGGCCCAACCCCGGGACUGCUCUUGGAACUGCGUGGCGAGAGUGCAGGAGGGGCAGGCGGAAGUCCUGGGGUAGCGGUGAAAUGCGUAGAUAUCAGGAGGAACACCGGUGGCGAAGGCGGCCUGCUGGACUGCAACUGACGUUGAGGCCCGAAAGCGUGGGGAGCAAACAGGAUUAGAUACCCUGGUAGUC
rnacentral:rRNA from 1 species